CUUGAUCUGCCAAUGUACACAAGUGUGAGAUCAGGAUCUUAUCACUUCCCAGCUUUCUCUUGCACUGUGGAGCUUGCUGGGAUGAGUUUCACUGGAGAAUCAGCAAAGACAAAGAAACAAGCUGAGAAAAACGCAGCCAUUGCAGCUUGGUCCUCUUUGAAGAAAAGUAACUCAAACUACUCUGUUCCAAGUUCCAUAAACCCCAAAACGCUUCUCACUUUUCUAAUUGAAUCUCUCUCUUUUUUUUUUUUUUUUAAAUAUGCAGUGGCAAGCUUGGAUUCUAUGGGAGGAAAGGAAAAUGGGGAAGAGAAGGAACAAGAAGUAGUAGCAAGAGUACUUUCAAGAUUUAAACCCAAAGAAGUGAGAAGAAGAGAGACCACAAACCAAUGGAGAAGAAGAACAAGUCAACAAGAUACAAACAAAGACUUGUCUGAGAGAUUGAGAUGGAUCAAUCUAUUAACCUAUGAACCUUCAAAAAGCCAGGCUUCAAGAACAAACCUUCAACAAUUCAAAGGGAUAUCAUUACAAGAAGCUAAGGAAGAGACAGAGAUGAUGAUCACCACAAAGUCGUUUCCUUUGCCAGUGGCUGCUCAUCAUAAAGCCAGACUCAACGAAUCAUCGAGCGGCGGAUGUAGUAACCAAAUCCCAUUUUCCGACAGAGGCAGGUUCAGUUUCGUCG
rnacentral:lncRNA from 1 species